rnacentral:rRNA from 1 species
GUCGAGCGGCGGACGGGUGAGUAAUGCCUGGGAAACUGCCUGGUAGAGGGGGAUAACAACUGGAAACGAAAGCUAAUACCGCAUACGUCCACCGGAGGAAAGCAGGGGACCUUCGGGCCUUGCGCCAUCAGAUGUGCCCAGGUGGGAUUAGCUAGUUGGUGAGGUAAUGGCUCACCAAGGCGACGAUCCCUAGCUGGUCUGAGAGGAUGAUCAGCCACACUGGAACUGAGACACGGUCCAGACUCCUACGGGAGGCAGCAGUGGGGAAUAUUGCACAAUGGGCGAAAGCCUGAUGCAGCCAUGCCGCGUGUGUGAAGAAGG